rnacentral:rRNA from 1 species
AGAGUUUGAUCCUGGCUCAGGAUGAACGCUAGCGGCAGGCCUAAUACAUGCAAGUCGAGGGGCAGCACAACUUUCGGGUUGUGGCGACCGGCGGACGGGUGCGUAACGCGUAUGCAAUCUACCUUCAGCUGAGGGAUAGCCCGUGGAAACAUGGAUUAAUACCUCAUAAUGCAGGGGUCUCGCAUGGGACUAUUUGCUAAAGAUUUAUCGGCUGGGGAUGAGCAUGCGUCUGAUUAGUUAGUUGGUGAGGUAACGGCUCACCAAGGCGAUGAUCAGUAGGGGUUCUGAGAGGAUGAUCCCCCACACUGGUACUGAGACACGGACCAGACACCUACGGGUGGCAGC